UACGGAGGGGGCUAGCGUUGUUCGGAAUUACUGGGCGUAAAGCGCACGUAGGCGGCUUUGUAAGUUAGAGAUGAAAGCCCAGGGCUUAACCCUGGAAUUGCCUUUAAGACUGCAUCGCUAGAAUCGUGGAGAGGUAAGUGGAAUUCCGAGUGUAGAGGUGAAAUUCGUAGAUAUUCGCAAGAACACCAGUGGCGAAGGCGGCUCACUGGCCCGGUACUGACGCUGAGGCACGAAAGCGUGGGGAGCAAACAGG
rnacentral:rRNA from 1 species